CAACUGUGUGAAUUAAUGCGAACUGCAUACUGCUUUGAGCAUCGACAUCUUGAACGCAUAUUGCGGCCGCGGGAUAUCCCGUGGCCACGCCUGGCCGAGGGUCGGCU
rnacentral:rRNA from 1 species